GAGGGUCAAAUGAGAUCAAACCCUACUAUUUUAUAAAAUUCCAUUUUCUAAGCCUAACAUGAAUUAACCUCCAAAUAAUCCAAAUUAAAUGGAUCAACAUGCCAACAAAGCUCAUUAGAGGCUAUUAGAACACUUAAUGUGAAGGAUUAAGCCAAAUCCCAAAAGCUUACCACAAUGUGAACGCCGCGACGAAAACACGCCGCUCCAACGGGCACACGAAAGCUCGAUCUGUCGCCUCCAACGCGUUCGCAAGCAUCUUCUCCACCAACGCCGCGAAUUUGAGCGAGAGAUUUGGAGAGAUGAGAGAGAUCUUUAGAGAGAGAAAGGAGGGUUUCUCCCCCCCCCCCUCUAUGCGUGUGUCGUGUGUGGUGCUCGGGCUGAGAGGGAGAAGAAGCAAUGGCUUCUUUUAUACAUUACACCCCAAAACACUAUUCACUUCCGGGCAGUUUAGCAGUUCGGAACAGUCGGAGCCCUUCUGAAUGUCCGUUUGGGCUCAAAUUUGACAGGCAGGCUCGGUUUAACGUACUGAGUAAGAAUAUAUCUUAAGUUUUCAGUUUCGACCCCGUUUGGUUACUGAAAACUGUACCGAACUGUAAUCUUUAUCAGAUAGCUGUCGGAUUUUAUUUUCCACCUUCCGGGAGUCAGAAUGACAUGAAACUUUAAAUCUAGCCUCAUAAAAGUAAUUUUGACUUAUCCUCCACUUUUCAUAAUUUUCUGACACUGUGCAUUUUCUGCUAAUUUAUCUGUCCCGUUUCCAACAGAAAAUUCUACAUCUUCUGUUUUCAUUUCGAUUUCAGCACAAGUCACUUCUGACUUAUGUUUUACUUCUCUAAAUCGAAUAAAAAUAGUAUCUCAUACUAUUUUUAUUUAUUUUUAUUUUUAUAUUUAAAAUUCGGUAUAUUACAUUCCCCCGCAACCUUACCAGAACCAUUCAAAUGCCUUCCAACCAAAUGUACACCAUACCUUCAUAAUUUUAGAAGUCCGGUACCUUACAUCCUCCCGUCCUUAAAAGAGUUUCGUCCUCGAAACUAUCUCUCUUCAAUUCCAAUUCAUACCCCAACUCAACUUAUCAAAUAGUCGAGGGUUCCAAUGCACUUUCGCAUCUCGGAGUGGCCUUUCACU
rnacentral:lncRNA from 1 species